CAGCUCCACCGAUGCCUCCAAUACCUGUUUCUCUCUAAAGCCCUUUUCCUCUUCUCAAGUUUUUCUCAACUUUUGGUGCAGGUGGGAUUGAGGCGGAUCGAUGCCGCCUACGAUGCACUGGUCCCGCUAGGGUUCUCGAAGGACAUCGUCCGUAGAACUAUAAGUAAACUUUUGAAGGUAUAUGGUGGAGAGAAUGGAUGGGUUGUUGUCGAAGAAGCGUCGUAUAAGAUGGUCAUUGAGACUAUCCUGGACGAACAAGAGAGGGAGAGGACAGUUUGUGAAGAGGGCACGACCAAUGGUCAAGGGAGAGAGGCGACUGAUGACCAGGCGGACACCAUAAAUGGUCGAGGAAUGGAAUCUCCCAUUGUCAAUGAUGGCGAUGAGGAGGAGACGGAGACAAGAGAGUUUUUAAGGAUGAUUCUACAGUUACCAAAAGGGAAUAAACACAGAAGGCAGUUGUUCCAUUUAGCUCGAAAAAUGAUUUUGUUCUCCCGCUGGAAAGAGAAGAAAAAUUGAAGACAAUUGAUGUUUUUGGUGAUGAUCUUCCACUACCCCUAAUGUAAUUUUUUAAAUUUCGUCAGACGUGAAUAUUUUAUGGCAUGAAGUGUAUUACUAUGUUUUAAUUCAAGCUUGACUUCACGCAAGAAGACUAUAUUGUAAACUAAAUACAUCAAAUGGCUUAUGAUUACUUAGCAAAUGUACAAUUUUUAGCAAAUACUUCAUGUCAUUUAUUUAAUUUUGUUUUGUUUUAUUUUUUAAAGAACUAGAGUGGUUGGAAGCUUGGUAAAAAAAUUAGGAUGGGGCUGCGACUGAACCUAGGUCUUUUAAAUCCAACAAAAGAUUUUACCAAUUCAAGUAGUUGCCAUCCUCCAUCUUAGAUGUAUUGUUGGUUCUUACAUUUUUUUUGUUAUUCUUAAUGCGAUCGUAAGUGUGCAUGCGUACUAGCCUGAAUUGGGCAGUACGAGAUGCACUGUACCGUAUCAGUUCGGUACUCGGUAUGGAUAGCGUACCAACACUCGGUAUGCCAAAAAAACUCCGUAACAUACCGUACCGACCCUGUGCUAGUGUAGUACUGAUACGGGGUUUAGUAUCGAGACAGCGAACUUUGUGUGCAUGAAAUGUCUUGCUGAUAUUGCUAGUCUUAAUUUGAUGGUAAAUGAUCUAUAUUUGUUUGACUUCUUAACUUUUUCAUUUUUGGACAUCCUAAUGGCAAGUAUCACAUGUUAUAGAUGCUGCUAAAUGUUUUAUGUAACUUAUUUAGUUUGUCUGUUAAAUAGAGGGGAGAAACUGAAUCUUGCUUCACAUUGCCUGAUCUAUUAAUUUUCUAUUUUUUAUGAAUAUAGUAUAUUAUCCAAUUUCUUUGGUGCAUUUAUGGCAAGGUUGUGAAAUAUCGAGGAUUAAUACUAUAUCGACCAAGGUGGGUACGACAUGCAUUAUAUUGAUAAUUGUACUAACAAAGGGUAUUGAUUACGCAUAGAAACACCUUAAACACCCUUGCUAUGUUCUUUUUGGCCUCCAAACUCAUAUUUUUGUUUUUUUAACCAUUUAUUCUUGUCUAAAUGCCAUGUUUUUGCAAUAAGUUAGAUAGGAGUAUUGAAUUAAGUGCCCUAAUUAAGGAUUAUUAUGUAUGUGCUAAAAUCAUUAACUUGUAGAAAUACCACAUUACAUUGCAUGUGUUAAAAUCAGCAAUUAAAUGAAACUAAACAAAGAAAGAAUCUAUUCAUAACAUCAUUUAAUAAUAGUGGCACCUGCAACAAAAAUCGCUACUAUAUCAAUGAUCACGUACUAGGCACCAGCAUACUUAUCCAUGCUUUUAUCAUUUUUUAAAUUUUCAAACUUUUAUGGCAUGUCUUGAAGUGCAAGUUUGUCGCAUUCGCUUGAAGUAUUCACCUUGUUUCUUUUGGUGCAUUAAUAUAUCUUCUCUUCUCUUUGAUGGUUUAGCAAUAUUCUUUAAAUAUGUAUAUAUAUAUACACAUAUUUGCCAAUUAAAAAUGGAUAAUUAAUGUGAAAUUUAUUAUACUUUCAAGCGAUGGCUUAGGUGGAAUCUGAGCAUUCCAACUCACACCUAUUGUGGAUCAAAUUUUGGCAGGAUGUGCAUAUCAUUAGUACAAAAUGGUCGUAGAUUGAGCGUUCUGGUGUGAAAACCUUGUAGCAAUUAUCCUUCAUCUCAUUUCCACCUUCAAAUGGUGAAAAAAAGAGAGAAUCACCCUUUAACUCACUUCUCAAGUGGUACCUGGUCAUAUUGCUUAGAUGAGAGCUGUUUGGGUCAAUUCACUCUGAACCAACCACAAUCUGCCCUCGAACCACUUGAUCUGACCCCAUACCACUCGAUCUAUCAUUGGUUCAGGUGGUUCAUACUACUUUCAUUCAAACUGAUCUUCACUGUAUAGUAGCAGCUUUGGUACAGUAUGUACCCAUGUUUGCUGUACUGGCACCAGGCCCCGGAUCGGUUGCUCGGCGGCACGGAUCGGUACGGGCUUGCGCCGUGCCGGGCCGUACCAACACAAGAGAAGAGGUGGGGGAGGGAGAACGAAAUAGAGGAAAAGAGAGAAGGGGGAGGCUAAGGGAGGCCGGCCAAGAGCCAGCGGAAGGCCGAGGAGCCGCUGUGCGGAGGGGGUGGAGGCCGGAGAGCUGCUACGCGGAGAAGGCCGGGGAGCUGCCGCGGAACAUAGGCCCAGAGGGGGCCUUGUUUCGAACGAAACAUAGGACCGGAGGAGGAGCCUCUUUUCCGCAGCUCCUCGGCCUUCGCCUCCUCCCCACAACGGCUCCCCGGCCUCCACUUUCCUCUCUCUUCCUUUCACUCCCUCUCCCUCCCCCUCCCUCCCCCGCUCUCUCUCUCUUUUCCUCUUUUUUCUUUCUCCUUCUCCGUCGUCGGUCUCGUUUUCGUUGCCGGAACCGUUUUGGUCCGCCAUUGGUAGGGCUCAGGACGCCCCAAAUCGGGCGGUUCAGGAUGGCUCCAACCAUGGUAUGUACUAAAGGUAUGCGCCGAACUAUCCGAUACCUUGAUUUAUUGACAAAUGCACUAUCCAUGUAGUUACAUGAUGUUUGUUCUCUCAUACUCAUUAUGAUCGAAAAGUGGCAGCUGCGUAAUAAAAAUGUAAGAGCCUAACAUUUUAUAUGUUAGUACCUGAAAUCAAUAGCUGCCAUUAAUUUAAAGUUGCUUAUACAUGCCCAGCUCUAGUGACCUUGACUGGGAUGUGCCAGCAGGAAGAAAAAAGCACAAGACAGGUUGUUCAGAUAUUCAGACUACUUCAGAGAUAAAUAGUUCAGCUAAAAAGUGGUUUUUCAAAGCUAUAAUCACAAAACUCCUCAAUAUCACGGACACCAAUAAACAGUACAACAUUAAGAUAGGGGUAACCAAAGAUUGGUAUGGGACACCUUAAGCAAAUGGAGUGCUUGCAUGCCAAACAUUUGAUGACAUAUAAAUUGAUUUGUUUUUCGCUUUUAUUUGACCAGCAGUGUUACUUCUCUCAGCAUGUCUAAAAUCUGCAAUAAUAAUGCUUUCAACAUUAUUGGGUAUGGAACUUAAAAUUUUUAUUACCAGCACAAUUUCUGAAAAGUGGAAAUAGGAUAUUGAAGAGAUCAAAGAAUAUGUUAUAGCAAGCUUGAGCGUUGGCAUUUCAAUUAAGCAACAAAAUCCUUCAUAAAUGACCAGCAGUUAUUCUGAUAAAGCAGCUAUUCUUUAAUUUUCAUACUGAGAGCUGUAAAAUGCAUGGAUGACACUUCUAUUUUUUGGCAAAGUUACAGAAUUUGCAGAAGCCAUCAAGUAGAAAGCAGCGUAUACAGCGAAUAAUAGUUACUUGAAGCAGGGCCAGAUUCUGGUGUGGGUGCAACAAAUCAGAUCUCUCAAAAGAUUUAGAAUAGCAAAAAUGCUUGGGGAGCGGGUGCAAGGACAGAACCUAUCUCAACAUCUAAAGUGUCAGAGGAUCUUUGUUGAGGACGCUAAGGGUAGAUUGUUUUUCAGGCAACAUCAGACAAGGUAAUGAUUUACCUAUAUUUUUUUAUGUAUUGGAAAGUACUUUCAGAAUUGGUUACCCAUCUUUUUUUUGCAUUACUACUUUUUUUUUUUGGAUAAGUUGCUAAGAUCUAUCCAUAUUUCCUAUAAUUAAUACUCUUUAUCUAUAUAUAUUAUAAAUAAUAUAAUAUAAUAUAAUAUUAUAUUUAUAAGUUACAUAAUAUGCCAUAUAUAAUAUGAUAUAAUAAUAUAUAUAUUAUUAUAUGAUAUAAUAAUAGUAUAAUAUUAGAGUUAGAGAUAUUGUAGAAAUAAAAUAAAAAAUCUAUUUUACCUACUAAGGGAAAAUGACUUACCCACUUUUCUGGUGGGCAGGACUUCCACUCCCUCCCCCCACCCAAUUCCAUGGUAAAUGUUAUCCAUGGAAAUUAACUUACCUACCUAGAGAAGCAUAAGAGUAAGUCAGUUAAUAAAAAAUUUAGUUUCCCACGAUAUUUACCCACCACCCUGAAGGUAGUUCAUGGUGAGAGAUGUAUUGAAAUAGCACAUGCAUGCUUGUUAAACAAACGCGGUCAAAUAUGGUUUUGGUUGCAAGUGGGUUGCGAUUUACUAUAUCCAGAGGUAACAACACUUAUCGCAUGACAUAUAAAUCACGGAUAUUUUUACUAACCUGUUACAAUGUUAUAUAGGCAGGUUAUCUAGCAAGCAUAGCUCACAGCAGACUUAGCAGCCCUAACACCUUUAAGAAUGGAAGAUGAUUUUCCUUCAAAGUAUAAAAGCAGUAGUUCAAUCCAUACAAGCUACAAGUUCGAUGGCUGCUUGAAUUGGUGGAAAAAUUCAAGAAUCAAGGAGCUCAGGAGUGGAACCCAGACUUGCCCUGAAAUUCCUAUUGGACGCCCUCUGCUUAGUUAUAUGGUUAAUACUUUCUUUUUUUUAUGGUAGGAUUUGCACUGCUUAAUUGAUCCAACCAGCCUAUAAAUUUCAGUUGAUGAACCAUUAUGAUAUAAUUGUUGUUUGGUACAAGAUGUAAGUGCAAAGAAAUUUAUUUGCUGCUCCUGCAAGGAUUAAGAAAGCAAUUCUGACAACUGACUAGUAAAGACUUAUUAUACUGAUUUUGUCAA